rnacentral:ncRNA from 2 species
ACAAGGAAACCAGUGGAAAUCUGGUACAGGCUUACCCCUACUGUAUGCAGGGACAAAGGACAGAAUGCCAUUGCCGCAUAAGGACGGUGAGAAGGCGUCCGUAGGAUGAUCUGCAAGUCAGGAAACUU